AGGCCAGCCGUGCCAUAUGGCAGUGUUUUUGCAUAGAGGCAGACUUGGAAUCGCCGCGUUUCGCUUUGCAAGCACUGAGGUCUGACGUCAAUCAUGAGCAUAGAUGCACUUUCCCCGUUGGUAGCCUGUGCAGCACGGGCUGUCGUGAAGAACGAUGAAACAAGAACGAUAGAGAGCGCCCUCGAUGACCUGCAGCAGCAAAUGUUUGGUGUUGAGAAAUCGCACGAGAUGGCCACUGAGAUGAUGUUGAAGCGCAUACGUGAAACUCAGGUACUCUUGACCCAAGACUCAGCAUCUGGCAAGAGCAGCCUGACCACUGAGCGGCUACUGUUAGAGGCGGUGUCGACGCUUGGUGAGCUGCUGCUCAGCGCCGCUGCCGGGCAAAGGUUGCGCACCAAGACAGUGAAGCAGAUGGAGGACAUUAUUCUUCCCAUCCUUUUUCUGCGUACGAGCGUGACGCCGUCGCUGCUGAAGGCGCACGCACUGAAGGUAGCGUGGUCAAGGUUCGAAUGCAGCGGGAAGACUAACAAUGAGGCGAGGGAUAAAUUGCGGCACAUUUUCGUGUUGUGGUACCGCAACCACGGUUGGGACUUUGCACGGAGCAGCAGCGACGGGGUCGACGUAUGCACGCCCACACCCAAUCCUCGCGAAGGAGCCGAAAACGCAAAAUCUAACCUUGAAAAAAAAACUACCUGCUGCUCACCGCCGGUGCAUCCGAAGCAGCAGCGUGUGGUGCUGCGCGAGAUGUCGUGGAAUGCGGCAGCGCGGAAAGUCGCAGCAAGCGGCAUUCCGUCCUAUCUGCUCACCAAACGGAGGCGGUGCGACUCCACUUAUCAGCGCGACAGCCUCCCCUCCACGUGCGCUGAAGGGGGAGCUCGAAACUGCUUGCCGGCCGCAGCACAGCCGCCAUCACCUACAGCCACAGAUAAAAUCACAUGCCAGAUCAAUCCGAGGAUUCUCGCGUUGGACUCCCCGGUGAAGCGACGCAGACGGAAUUUGACUGUUGAUGUGCCGCCCUCACCCGACCGCCCAGAAUGAGUACAAAAUGAGCUCGUUCAUUUGGAUAGUUCGCUGGUGUAUGCUCUGUGUGAGCGCACACGAGCACUUUUUGCGCAUCGCGCUCACAGGAUUCAUAGAAGUUACUAGAGGGAAACGAAAAAA
rnacentral:misc_RNA from 1 species